rnacentral:rRNA from 1 species
GUGUCAGCCGCCGCGGUAAUACGAAGGGACCUAGCGUAGUUCGGAAUUACUGGGCUUAAAGAGUUCGUAGGUGGUUAAGAAAGUUGGUGGUGAAAUCCCAGAGCUUAACUCUGGAACUGCCAUCAAAACUUUUNAGCUAGAGUAUGAUAGAGGAAAGCGGAAUUUCUAGUGUAGAGGUGAAAUUCGUAGAUAUUAGAAAGAAUACCAAUUGCGAAGGCAGCUUUCUGGAUCAUUACUGACACUGAGGAACGAAAGCAUGGGUAGCGAAGAGGAUUAGAUACCCUCGUAGUCCAUGCCGUAAACGAUGUGUGUUAGAUGUUGGAAAUUUAUUUUCAGUAUCGCAGCGAAAGCAAUAAACACACCGCCUGGGGAGUACGACCGCAAGGUUAAAACUCAAAUGAAUUGACGGGGACCCGCACAAGUAGUGGAGCAUGUGGUUUAAUUCGAAGAUACGCGCAGAACCUUACCAACACUUGACAUGCUCGUUUCGACUCUAAGAGAUUAGAGUUUUCGGUUCGGCCGGACGAAACACAGGCGCUGCAUGGCUGUCGUCAGCUCGUGUCGUGAGAUGUUGGGUUAAGUCCCGCAACGAGCGCAACCCUUACUUUUAGUUGCCAUCAUUUAGUUGGGCACUCUGAAAGAACUGCCAGUGAUAAGCUGGAGGAAGGUGGGGAUGACGUCAAGUCCUCACGGCCCUUAUGUGUUGGGCUACACACGUGCUACAAUGGCAUUUACAAUGGGAAGCAAGAUGGCGACGUCAAGCAAAUCCUGAAAAAAUGCCUCAGUUCGGAUUGUACUCUGCAACUCGAGUACAUGAAGCUGGAAUUACUAGUAAUCGUGGAUCAGCGUGCCACGGUGAAUACGUUCCCGGGUCUUGCACCACCGCCCGUC